rnacentral:rRNA from 1 species
GACGAACGCUGGCGGCGUGCUUAACACAUGCAAGUCGAACGGAAAGGCCCUGCUUUUGUGGGGUGCUCGAGUGGCGAACGGGUGAGUAACACGUGAGUAACCUGCCCUUGCCUUUGGGAUAACUUCAGGAAACUGGGGCUAAUACCGGAUAGGAGCUCCUGCUGCAUGGUGGGGGUUGGAAAGUUUCGGCGGUUGGGGAUGGACUCGCGGCUUAUCAGCUUGUUGGUGGGGUAGUGGCUUACCAAGGCUUUGACGGGUAGCCGUCCUGAGAGGGUGACCGGCCACAUUGGGACUGCGAUACGGCCCAGACUCCUACGGGAGGCAGCAGUGGGGAAUAUUGCGCAAUGGGCGGAAGCCUGAAGCAGCAACGCCGCGUGCGGGAUGACGGCCUUCGGGUUGUAAACCGCUUUCGCCUGUGACGAAGCGUGAGUGACGGUAAUGGGUAAAGAAGCACCGGCUAACUACGUG